GGACGUGCGGCCCAGCAGGGCCAGAGACUGAGUGUGGAACAGCGCUGCGUCUUGGCGCCUCGAACCCGUGCGAUGUGUGAACAUUGUUUUAACAGGGGUUGACCGCGCUCGUGCUGACCUCCAGAGGCGCCUGUUUUAGCUCAAACGGUUCAACGUUCAUCCAGAUACCAUGCCGUGAAGUGGAGGGAGUUCAGACUAGGACGUCGGACUCUGCUGUGUCCUGGAUCAAGAAGUUUGGGAAGGAUAAGAUAUUGAUGGGUGACGAGCGACAUCUAAAAGAGUUUGGGAAGCCAAAACUGCCUGAGCUAUCUAAGAAUGAGAAUGACCACUGCUCUGUCCUGCUGGACCUUCCUCAGAACUUGAUGUUACAGUAGAAUGGAAGGAAGACCCUUGGAAGACCUCAUUGGGAUGACUCCAGCAGGAACCACCCACUCGUCUCGAUGGCCACCUGUUGAGAGAUCCACCCAACUCUAUGAAAUCUUUGCCUACGUGAGUAUGGAUGUGGGACUGGCCAGUGCAUGGAUUCUCUCAGGUUGCGUAAAUUGGACACGGUAGCGGCUGAAGAACUCUUGAUACGUCCACCUGUACCAAGAAACAGAAAGGGUGUUAGCCAUAUAAUGGAAACCUCUCUCAAUGAAAAUGCCUCUUCUGAAAACAAUCUGAAAAAUGGCAAACCUACCUUGAGGGGAAGCCAGCUGCGCUGAUCCGGAUAGUUUCCAGAACACCACAAGCUCUGAGCUGCUGAACUGCCCGCUUUUCAUCAAACCUAUAUAAGAAAACAAAACAUCUGUCAAAUGGCAGACUUUCUAAGUGAAGCUCUAGCCAAGUUUUGUAUGAGAACCUAAGUUCAGAAAUGGUGACAACGUUAGAAAUGCAAACUAGUAGAUUUCAGUCAAAGAAGUUGUCAUGAGUACAGAUUCCUUAGGAGCACAAGUUUUGAAUCAAAUUCAAAAUGGAAAAUCAUGAAAUUGUGGGUAUCCUUCUCAGACAGCAUAAAGGAGAAAUACAAAGCAGUCAGCUAAUCAUUUUCUCUCCAUCUAGCCCCAAACAGCUGUUAUUAUUAUGUUUAUUCCGACGCUUUCAAGACACACUAUUCUACUCCUGAGCUAUGUGUACUAUGUUCUCAGAGACCAUUUAUGAACCAACGUACGUGAAUGGAAACUUGAAGUCAUUGGGCUUAAUACAACGCACGUAGUGUGGAGUUGUAGCAUUAAGGGUUUCCAUCAGCAGAUGAAGAGAGUUCCGAAACUGUAAAAAAAAAAAAAAAAAAAAAGAGAGAAGGGAAAUCAGAAUACGAUGAAACUCAGUCUUGUUUGAAAUGAUCUCAAAUGGGGACUUUUUGUAUUAGAUAAAAGAGGUUGUCUAGAAAAAUCCAACAUAAAGCCAAAUUUCAAUAGAGCAGUUUGGUUAUGUGUUGCCCCAGUGUAUGCAUCCAUACUAUAAAUUCUGGUGGUUCUUGGAAGCAAUUCA